rnacentral:rRNA from 1 species
GACGAACGCUGGCGGCGUGCUUAACACAUGCAAGUCGAACGGAAAGGCCUCUUUCGGGGGGUACUCGAGUGGCGAACGGGUGAGUAACACGUGAGUAACCUGCCCUUGACUUUGGGAUAACUUCAGGAAACUGGGGCUAAUACCGGAUAGGAUCUCCUGCUGCAUGGUGGGGGUUGGAAAGUUUCGGCGGUUGGGGAUGGACUCGCGGCUUAUCAGCUUGUUGGUGGGGUAGUGGCUUACCAAGGCUUUGACGGGUAGCCGGCCUGAGAGGGUGACCGGCCACAUUGGGACUGAGAUACGGCCCAGACUCCUACGGGAGGCAGCAGUGGGGAAUAUUGCACAAUGGGUGGAAGCCUGAUGCAGCAACGCCGUGUGCGGGAUGACGGCCUUCGGGUUGUAAACCGCUUUCGCUCAUGACGAAGCUUUGUGUGACGGUAGUGGGUAAAGAAGCACCGGCUAACUACGUG